GAUGAACGCUGGCGGCGUGCCUAAUACAUGCAAGUCGAGCGAACGGACGAGAGGCUUGCUUCUCUGAUGUUAGCGGCGGACGGGUGAGUAACACGUGGAUAACCUACCUAUAAGACUGGGAUAACUUCGGGAAACCGGAGCUAAUACCGGAUAAUAUUUUGAACCGCAUGGUUCAAAAGUGAAAGACGGUCUUGCUGUCACUUAUAGAUGGAUCCGCGCUGCAUUAGCUAGUUGGUAAGGUAACGGCUUACCAAGGCAACGAUGCAUAGCCGACCUGGGAGGGCGAUCGGCCACACUGGAACUGAGACACGGUCCAGACUCCUACGGGAGGCAGCAGUAGGGAAUCUUCCGCAAUGGGCGAAAGCCUGACGGAGCAACGCCGCGUGAGUGAUGAAGGUCUUCGGAUCGUAAAACUCUGUUAUUAGGGAAGAACAUAUGUGUAAGUAACUGUGCACAUCUUGACGGUACCUAAUCAGAAAGCCACGGCUAACUACGUG
rnacentral:rRNA from 1 species